GUCUGCCUACGGGAGGCAGCAGUAGGGAAUCUUCGGCAAUGGGGGGAACCCUGACCGAGCAACGCCGCGUGAGGGAAGAAGGUUUUCGGAUCGUAAAGCUCUGUUGUAAGAGAAGAACGUUAGCGGGAGUGGAAAAUCCGCUAAGUGACGGUACCUUACCAGAAAGGGACGGCUAACUACGUGCCAGCAGCCGCGGUAAUACGUAGGUCCCGAGCGUUGUCCGGAUUUAUUGGGCGUAAAGCGAGCGCUGGCGGUUUGAUAAG
rnacentral:rRNA from 1 species